rnacentral:rRNA from 1 species
AUUAGCAGCAAUAGUGCAGUAGCUCCACCUGAAUCCAUACCGAACUCAGAAGUGAAAUGCUGUAACGCCGAUGGUAGUGUGGUGAUUCGCCAUGUGAGAGUAGGGCACUGCUAAUU